AGUAACGGCGAGUGAAGCGGCAACAGCUCAAAUUUGAAAUCUGGCCUCUUUGGGGUCCGAGUUGUAAUUUGUAGAGGAUGUUUCGGGUACCGCCUCGGUUUAAAUUUCUUGGAACAGAAUGUCAAAGAGGGUGAGAAUCCCGUCUUGGACCGGCGGUAGGGCCCAUGUGAAACUCCUUCGACGAGUCGAGUUGUUUGGG
rnacentral:rRNA from 1 species